rfam:Mus musculus chromosome 2, GRC primary reference assembly.
GUCAUACUUUUGAGACUCACUGAGGGGUUAAGCUGUGGCACCAAGGUAGUUGCUGGCACAUAACUGGUGCCCCUUGCCCAUCUGCCCAUCUCCGUGGGCCCUUUUAAAUGCUAGCAACAGGC